UACGUAGGGUGCAAGCGUUGUCCGGAAUUAUUGGGCGUAAAGAGCUCGUAGGCGGUCUGUCGCGUCUGCUGUGAAAACUCGGGGCUUAACCCCGGGCCUGCAGUGGGUACGGGCAGACUAGAGUGCGGUAGGGGAGACUGGAAUUCCUGGUGUAGCGGUGGAAUGCGCAGAUAUCGUUUGGAACGCCAAUGGUGAAAACAGGUCGCUGGGGAUGAGCUGACGCUGAGACACGAAAGCCAGGGAGCAAACGGG
rnacentral:rRNA from 1 species